AUUGAACGCUAGCGGCAUGCCUUACACAUGCAAGUCGAACGGAGUGGCGAACGGGCGAGUAAGGUAUCGGAACGUGCCCAGUAGCGGGGGAUAACUAACCGCAAGCUUAGCUAAUACCGCAUACUAUUGGACCGGCCGAUCUCGGAUUAGCUAGUUGGUGGGGGAACGGCUCACCCAGGCCACGAUCCGGAGCUGGUUUGAGAGGACGACGAGCCACACUGGGACUGAGACACGGCCCAGACUCCUACGGGAGGCAGCAGUGGGGAAUAUUGGACAAUGGGGGCAACCCUGAUCCAGCCAUCCCGCGUGUGUGAUGAAGGCCUUAGGGUUGUAAAGCACUUUUAGCAGGAAAGCGGUACCUGCAGAAUAAGCACCGGCUAACUACGUGCCAGCAGCCGCGGUAAUUC
rnacentral:rRNA from 1 species